rnacentral:rRNA from 1 species
CUACGGGGCGCUGCAGUGAGGAAUAUUGCACAAUGGGGGAAACCCUGAUGCAGCAACGCCGCGUGGAGGAUGACGCAUUUCGGUGUGUAAACUCCUUUUAUGAGUCAAGAAAAUGACGGUAGCUCAUGAAUAAGCACCGGCUAACUCCGUGCCAGCAGCCGCGGUAAUACGGAGGGUGCAAGCGUUACUCGGAAUCACUGGGCGUAAAGGACGCGUAGGCGGGAUGUCAAGUCAGGUGCGAAAUCCUAUGGCUCAACCAUAGAACUGCACUUGAAACUGGCAACCUAGAGUAUGGGAGGGGGAGAUGGAAUUAGUGGUGUAGGGGUAAAAUCCGUAGAUAUCACUAGGAAUACCGAAAGCGAAGGCGAUCUCCUGGAACAUUACUGACGCUAAGGCGUGAAAGCGUGGGGAGCAAACAGGAUUAGAUACCCCCGUAGUC